UUAUUAUAUUAAAAAAAUUACAAGGCAUUUUAACGUUAAAAAAAAAAAAACAUUGUAACCCUCAAGGUCUCAGUUCUCUCAAGCUCUCUGUGUUCUCUGUGUUCUCUCAAGCUCUCUCGGCGCUCAAGCUCUCUCGGCUCUCUCAGCUUACAUUGGCUCUCUCUCUCUCUCUCACAACUUCUUCACUGUUCUCUCUCACGCUACCAUUCUCUCACAAAGUUGUCAGGCAUGAUACAAUGUCAUAUGAGGCCUUUGAUUCAAAAAUUGGCUGUACUGCCAAUGCUCACAAUCUCUUGAGCUUGCCUUCAUUAUUGCUGAGCGCCUAAGGAGGAGGAUCACAUCACCGCAAGCUCUUGCCCUCUAGGCUUCUACAGUGAGGCUUUAAGAGCCCACCAAUGUGCUCUUUUUCUUACGUUAAUAGCAGUUAUAUUAGCAUUAGCACUAUUGGAUUUUCAAUUAUUUAUAUUGUGUAUUGUGUGUAUACUAAAAGGAAGAGUGAUGGUUUGAGACACUAUGAAAACACAGGAGAAUAAAUGGAUAACAAUUUAUUUAUUCCAUAGGAAUAUAAGAUAUGAUUGCAUUUUAUU